rnacentral:rRNA from 1 species
GACGAACGCUGGCGGCGUGCCUAACACAUGCAAGUUGAGCGACGAACCAGGGCUUGCCCUGGGGCAAAGCAGCGAACGGGUGAGUAACACGUGGGUAACCUACCCCGAUAACCGUGACAACCCGAGGAAACUCGGGCUAAUACCGGAUGUGCUCACUGGACUUCGGUUCAGUGCGUAAAGGAAGCUUCGGCCUCCGUAUCGGGAGGGGCCGGCGGCCCAUUAGUUUGUUGGGGAGGUAACGGCUCACCAAGACCGCGAUGGGUAGCUGGUCUGAGAGGACGAUCAGCCACACUGGGACUGAGACACGGCCCAGACUCCUACGGGAGGCAGCAGUGGGGAAUAUUGCGCAAUGCGCGAAAGCGUGACGCAGCAACGCCGCGUGGGGGAAGAAGGCCUUCGGGUUGUAAACCCCUUUCAGGAGGGGAGAAGGUUCGGCGGUGAAUAGCCGUCCGGACUGACGGUACCUAAACAAGAAGCACCGGCUAACUACGUG